AAAAAUUCAUAUCCAAAACCAAACCCAUCCAAAAAUUUGAAUCUGAAACAAUCAUUUUUUUUUUACCAUAUUUCCAAAAUUUAUAUUAAAAUUUAAAUUUUCAAAAUACAUAUUCGAAUGGAGUAUAGACAAAAUUUAUUUGCGAAUUCGAAUUUGUUGAGUUUUCAUUUUUUUUAUAUUCGUAUCUAAAACAAUAAUCAUUUAGCAUCAGAUAAACACUCCUUCGAAUUCAGAUUCAGAUAAGAUUAUCUCCAAUGU
rnacentral:lncRNA from 1 species